rnacentral:rRNA from 1 species
GAUGAACGCUGGCGGCGUGCCUAAUACAUGCAAGUCGAGCGAACGGACGAGAAUCUUGCUUCUCUGAUGUUAGCGGCGGACGGGUGAGUAACACGUGGAUAACCUACCUAUAAGACUGGGAUAACUUCGGGAAACCGGAGCUAAUACCGUAUAAUAUUUUGCACCGCAUGGUUCAAAAGUGAAAGACGGUCUUGCUGUCACUUAUAGAUGGAUCCGCGCUGCAUUAGCUAGUUGGUAAGGUAACGGCUUACCAAGGCAACGAUGCAUAGCCGACCUGAGAGGAUGAGCGGCCACACUGGAACUGAGACACGGGCCAGACUCCUACGGGAGGCAGCAGUAGGGAAACUUCCGCAAUGGGCGAAAGCCUGACGGAGCAACGCCGCGUGAGGGAUGAAGGUCUUCGGAUCGUAAAACUCGGUUAUUAGGGAAGAACAUAUGUGUAAGUAACUGUGCACAUCUUGACGGUACAUAAUCAGAAAGCCACGGCUAACUACGUG